rnacentral:lncRNA from 1 species
CUCUAAGAAUGUUGUUGCAAAGUUUCAUAGCAAAGCAAGAGAUAUUUCUGGGUUAGGAGAUGUCAUUAAAGAUUGUCAAUAUAUUCAUAACUCUCAUUUUAGAAACUCUCGGGUUGAGUUUGCUAGGAGACAAGCCAAUGAGGCCGCUCAUAUAUUAGCAAAUGUGGUCUCAUCUCUAGCUAGUUUCCAUAUUUUCAUUGAUGUACCCU